rnacentral:misc_RNA from 1 species
GAUGAAGAACGCAGCGAAAUGCGAUAAGUAAUGUGAAUUGCAGAAUUCAGUGAAUCAUCGAAUCUUUGAACGCACCUUGCGCCCUUUGGCCAUUCCGAAGGGCAUGCCUGUUUGAGUAUCAUGAACACCUCAACUCUCAUGGCUCGCCGUGAUGAGCUUGGACUUUGGGGGUCUUGCUGGCCUGUGGUCGGCUCCUCUCAAAUGGAUCAGCUUGCCAGUGUUUGGUGGCAUCACAGGUGUGAUAACUAUCUGCGCUUGUGGUUUUCCAUCAGAUAACCUUCAGUGAUGGAGGUUCGCUGGAGCUCAUAAACGUCUCCCCUAAGCGGGGACAGCCCUUUGAAUGUUUGAUCUCAAAUCAGGUAGGACUACCCGCUGAACUUAAGCAUAUCAAUAAGCGGAGGA